CGGCCAGACUCCUACGGGAGGCAGCAGUGGGGAAUAUUGCACAAUGGGGGAAACCCUGAUGCAGCGACGCCGCGUGAAGGAAGAAGUAUUUCGGUAUGUAAACUUCUAUCAGCAGGGAAGAAAGUGACGGUACCUGACUAAGAAGCCCCGGCUAACUACGUGCCAGCAGCCGCGGUAAUACGUAGGGGGCAAGCGUUAUCCGGAUUUACUGGGUGUAAAGGGAGCGUAGGCGGCGAUGCAAGUCAGAAGUGGAAGCCCGGGGCUCAACUCCGGGACUGCUUUUGAAACUGUACGGCUGGAGUGCAGGAGAGGUAAGUGGAAUUCCUAGUGUAGCGGUGAAAUGCGUAGAUAUUAGGAGGAACACCAGUGGCGAAGGCGGCUUACUGGACUGUAACUGACGUUGAGGCUCGAAAGCGUGGGGAGCAAACAGGAUUAGAUACCCCAGUAAC
rnacentral:rRNA from 1 species